rnacentral:rRNA from 1 species
GAUGAACGCUGGCGGCGUGCCUAAUACAUGCAAGUCGAGCGAAUGGAUUAAGAGCUUGCUCUUAUGAAGUUAGCGGCGGACGGGUGAGUAACACGUGGGUAACCUGCCCAUAAGACUGGGAUAACUCCGGGAAACCGGGGCUAAUACCGGAUAACAUUUUGAACCGCAUGGUCCGAAAUUGAAAGGCGGCUUCGGCUGUCACUUAUGGAUGGACCCGCGUCGCAUUAGCUAGUUGGUGAGGUAACGGCUCACCAAGGCAACGAUGCGUAGCCGACCUGAGAGGGGGAUCGGCCACCCUGGGACUGAGACACGGCCCAGACUCCAACGGGAGGCAGCAGUAGGGAAUCUUCCGCAAUGGACGAAAGUCUGACGUAGCAACGCCGCGUGAGUGAUGAAGGCUUUCGGGUCGUAAAACUCUGUUGUUAGGGAAGAACAAGUGCUAGUUGAAUAAGCUGGCACCUUGACGGUACCUAACCAGAAAGCCACGGCUAACUACGUGCCAGCAGCCGCCGUAA